AUUGAACGCUGGCGGCAGGCUUAACACAUGCAAGUCGAGCGGUAACAGAGAAUAGCUUGCUAUUUUGCUGACGAGCGGCGGACGGGUGAGUAAUGCUUGGGAAUAUGCCUUAAGGUGGGGGACAACAGUUGGAAACGACUGCUAAUACCGCAUAACGUCUACGGACCAAAGGAGGGGAUCUUCAGACCUUUCGCCUUUUGAUUAGCCCAAGUGAGAUUAGCUAGUAGGUAAGGUAAUGGCUUACCUAGGCGACGAUCUCUAGCUGGUUUGAGAGGAUGAUCAGCCACACUGGGACUGAGACACGGCCCAG
rnacentral:rRNA from 1 species